ensembl:lncRNA
UGAUAUUGACACAAGAAAAAAUAGAUGGUUUCAUGAAGACAAUUCCUGGUUUAUUUUAUACAAGUUUGUGGUGAAAGAUAUAUGGUGAAAUAUGGUAAAAUACAGCCACUCAUACGUUGGGCAGUGCUGACAAGUUGGCAAUACAGUUACUAGGGGAGUUUGUUUUGGUUUCUUUUUGUUAUCUGUUUGCAAUACCCAACACUAAACAUAUGAAGUUGGUUGCAGUAGUUUCAGCUGUGUUGUAUGACAUACCUCUCAAAACAUAACAAAUGGGGAAGCAGAAAAAAGUAUGUUUCAAGAGGACACACCCUGGGAGAGACCAGGGGUGAUCAUACAAACAGAGACGGAAUAAUAUUUGAUAGGCUAAACUGUAUAGAUCAGAAUUGUGCAAACAACAGAAUUAGGAAGGUAUGCACAUGCAGGAAGUGUGAUGUGAAGAAUCUUCAUCAAAAGCCUGGACCAUAUAAUGGAAAUUCACUUGAUUCAAUAUUGCACAGUCAACCUGAAUUGCAGCUGAUGAUCGUGAACUGCUUGUUGACAAAAGGAGAAAAAGAAUUUUCCAAAGUAGAAAGAGGCAUGGGAGGAGAAAAGGAAGCCUGCGUGACACCAUGUACUAAUGAGAAAAAAUAAAACGAGAAAUGCUCAAGGAGAAAGAUAGUCAAAGAGAACAUGAAGGAAGAUGGAAUGAACUUAUAUGUCAAGUAGAACAGAAUAUUUUUCAAGAACCAAGUCCAUCUACCUGGACAUGUGAAAGAGGUCUGCAUCAGUGAAUCGAUAAGCUAUGCUUCUCCAGAAAAUUAAUGUAAACUGUUUAAUAAAGUGUCAGAUCUACAGCUGCUCAGUUAAAUAUAGGAAGAAACUGCUGAUAGCUUUUUUAUGACAGGGGAUAAACCUGAGGAAGAACCUGGCUCAAGGGAAGAAUAUUUUAAAGAAGAAAAAGGUCACAGAGUUUGUGAUGGAUGUUGAAAGAAGAGUAAGACAAAUUUACAGUAAAAGAAACAAGUGGGAUUGCCAAAACAAGGGAAUAUCUGAAUAUGUUGGGAUGAGCAACUACAAUACAGAAGAUCAGUUAACCUUUCUUCAGACUUAGAACAGAUUCCACUACAAAGCCUCACACCUGACAUUUAAACUUGUCUGCAUGAAAGUUCUUAUGGUGCAGAUACCAGCUGGAUCCAAUUCUCAUUCAGCUAAUAGCUGGAAUGUGGAGAAGCUUCAACCAAAUCUCAAAAGCAAACAAAAUAAUCUGAAGGAUAAAGAUACGACGAAAGCAGCAAAUUCCUCUGAAAUCUACUGGGCUGAGGAAUGAUGAAACACAAGACAAAGCUCUUAUCUAUCAGGAAGUUUAAAGCACACCACCUUUUCAUAUGGGACCUAACUGAACGUAUAAUUGAAACAGUGAGACCACCUGGAUACACAACGUUGUCAACUAUAAAAAGGCAUACACAUACAACAUAUGGUUGCUGGUAUAAGCAGGCCAAGCAACUUUUACAGGCACUUCUUGAGUAGCAAGAAAAAAAAGAUUUUAAAGCUGUAGAUGGGAGUACAAUAAAGGACUGUACUUGCUGAAUGUAAGCUGCGUGUCAACUACAUCUGAAAGCAAGAGUGAAGAGCUGGCAGAUGUAGGGACAGGUUGUUUAUUGUUCAGAGAGAAUUAAGGCCAGGAAUGGCAACAAGAAGACUGGAAAACUGAGUUGUGGGAAUGUGGUGUGCUUGCCAGCAGCCUAGAGACACGGUUAGGAGUAGAACAUCAGUUUUUAAACUUACAUGGUUUGUUUUAACUAUAUCACUUUUAUUAAGGUCAGAAGACAGAGCUUUCCUUGUGCAGACAACCAUAUAUACAUAAAAAAAAAAAAAAAAGGGUUAAAAAUGCCAGAAGUAAUGUUUCUUUAAAUAACUUGUAACAGUCUACCAAAUUCAACAAAUUUUAACAAUGUUUGAUUCUGGUCAUAAUAUCAAGUUACAACUGCAUUUACAUUAUUUCUCUGUUGUUAUUUUACUGUCAGUAAAAUUUACAUGCUUUUUAUUGAAUCACGCAAACUUCUUGUGGAAGACAGCUGUUCACUGUGAGACUUCCUGUCUCAUCUUGCUAGACAAGAAGAAAUGAGAAAAAUGGGUUUAUACACGUUAGUCCCACUAUCCAUUUCCUCUUAUAUGGUGUGUGACUAACUGAUAGCUAAUGGGAUUUAGGAAAGGAUGCUACAGAAACUUGUACUAUCAUGUUCUCUCAGCAAGAGUAAUAGAGAGCAGAAAGGCUUUGUGGAAGCCAGGCUGGGUUGAAGAACAUGAGAGAUGAGCCUGAGCAGAAUAGAAAACUCACAGCAUUGGUAUUGUGAACUUUCUUCCCCACACUUGUUUAAGAUAAAUUAAGACGUGUGCCUUCUUUAUGAGUUCAAGCUGGUAUAGUUUCCCUUCUGAGAGUUUGCUCUCCCAAGUGAUUCCUUAUCAGCUUUGUUAUCUAAUUGUGAUUAGAUUUCUGCCUUUCUUAUUCAAAAUAAACUGUUGUCCUUUUGGCUAGCUGUUUCUUUGAUAAAGAAAUGUUCUAGAAAGAAGUGACAAGAUACAAUUUCUGACAUGUGUUCCAGCAUUUUCUUAUACCACCUGAGCUUCUGCUAUUCUGCUGUAGCCUUCAUAAAUAUAAAUUAUUAUCUGCGCAUUUAAUGACCUAAUUGUGUCAUUUAUUUACACAAGUUUAAUGUGCUACUUAAUCCUCUGUUUAUUGCAGAGAUACUUAUCAAAAUAUGAAGUAGAGAGAAUACCUUUUCCUCUAAGCAGUCUAUCAAAAUGACACAAAUUUUUAUGGAUUUACUGGUAUACAGAGUUGAUAGUUAGACCUGGUAAAGUUCAUGCCAUGAAUUAUCAGUACUGGUUGGGAAUGUUGAAAGCAGGGCAGAAAGGAUGUCUUUUAUUAAGAGUGUACAUUCUCGUUAGGUCACCUUGAGCCACCUUCAGCUGUCCAGCCAGUAUGGCUCUGAGCAUAGACCAGUGCUUUGCCUCAUGCUGUACUACACCAAGUAGAGAUUCACAUAGUGAAUGCAUGGUUUUACCUCAGUUCAUCAGCAAGAGAAAGACUCCUGCCAGGAGCAAAUCUCUCCGAUUAAUUAAAUUCAGGAAACUAACUCAUUUCAGGGCAUGAAGUCAUUCCCUGCAUUACUGUGUUUCAGCAUUAAUACUAGUGGUAGAAAUAAAGCCCCACAGUGUAUAGAAAAGAAGAUUGUGAACUGUGACAAUAUUCAUGACCACAGUCCUUGGAAAGAUAUGUUCAGCUGAUAGGGACUUUUUAAUAUAUUCUGUAAUGGGAAGGUGAAAAUUCUCAGUGAUUUUAAUUGCUAGAGAAAGUGUUAUAAAUGGUGUGUUGAAGGGCAAAAUGAAGUUGCAAGAUGAACAAGCAGGAGGGUAAAAGACAUUUGUACAAGAAGGAUACUGAGAGAUUUUCACUUAAUAAAAUAAAUCCAUUUUUAGCUUUCACACUCUCCAGUGUUCUCUACAUUUGCAUUGGCAUUUCUUUCUCAGGCAGUAAUGUGCCGGUUGAAAGAACUUUCUCAGUAAUGAAUGACAUUGAACUGAUGACAAAGCAGAAUGUGAGUACAGCAAGGAAAGAAAAUAAAAAAGGCUAGCACAGCUGUUAAGAUGAAACACCUGCUGUGAGAGCCAUGAAAGGCUGCUGGGGAGCAGGCAGCUUCUGAACAAAUCAUUUUCAGAAGAAAGCUGAAAAAUCCCUACCUAUCCACAAGGCUUUCUUUCCUUCAUCUUCACAGUCUCUUUCCCGUUGAUUGCAUGUGUAGACAUCCUAUUGAUUUUAUGUGCAUAUUUUCAUUGUUAUGUUGUUAACAACUUGUGAUACAAAAGUUGCACCUCAUAAACAGUUUUUGUUUCAGACUGAUAGUCAAGGUUUCUUCCAGUCCAGUCGAUUUUAAGAUAACAGAUUCUGAACACACCACAUAAAAUUCCAGCAAGCCCUUUUUUAUAAUUCUCUAAGAUGUGGUGACAGCUGUUUAAGGGUUUAAACAAAUCAACUGUUUCAAGUGAUUGCUCCAGAGACCUCCAUUACACUGGCUCACCUUUCUCGCAAAAAGUCUUGUCCUAGGAGACUAAAAAUGGCAUUUCUAAAUCUUGCUAUUAGCAAGUGGUGUGAUUCAUUCCCUUGUAAAUGCAUGAGAACUUCUGACAAAAGAUGGCACUGAUAUUCUUUGAAAUGUGCACCCAUAAGGCUCAUCGUUGGCUGGUGCUUAAACUUAGUUAUGACUGUCUUAAUGCUUCCUGAAAGGGCAUGAUACCCACCUAACAAAUGGGCCUAUGAGAGAACAAAUGUGUGCUUCAACCUUGAGUACUUCAGGCACUGAGUUCCACCAGAGAGUGUUUGGAAUUCUGUCUACUCUGAGAAACAUCAGCAAAGAUCAAAGGAAUGACUAGUAUUUGCUCACAAACAGAUGAAUGAGAGGAAGAGCUUUAAUUGUUCGAUAGUUGAUUUGAAGAUCAUGGCAGUAGAACUUGACAUAAAUAUCAGCGGAGUUUUCCUGAAGUGGUAUAAAAUUGGCAUUUACUGUUGUCUUUUCCAUAAGACUGUUUCUUUAUUAGUGUUUCAUAAUGGAUCAGUGUGGAUAAUAUUAUUUUAAUUUGGUCUUCUCUGCAUGCAAUAAAUUUGCAAGCUAACUUUUUUUUAGUCCUUAACAGGAAUAUAGUGAAUAUUGCCUAUAGAGAAUAUAUAUAUAUACACACAUAUAAUUAUUAUUUUUCCCCCUUUCUUUAAGUAAACAGUGCACUGAGCACAAAUAAAUUGUUUUCUAAACAACAUAGAAAUGAAAAGUUACGUUAUAACUGAACAGGAAGAGAAUCAUUCACAAACAGUUGUGACUGCCACAAAGAGCUGACAGAAGAAGAAAUGUUUAGAUGCCUUUUAAGUGCAAACCCCUUUAAUGUGGUAGCAAAAUUUCACACUUUCUGGAGCUGUGUUUUCUUUGUUUUCCAAGUGGUGUCCUACAGAGCUGUACGAUAGAGGAAAUAUAGCAUAUGUCCACUCUCUUAAAAGAAGGCCAUGCAUAAAAAUACCUCACAUAAGCAGAUCUGGUGAUUUUAACAGUUCUGUUCAUUUAGAAGGAGAAAGUUAAACCUGAAGUACAAAGAAAAUUUGACUUAACUGAAAUACAGACCUUAAGGAACGUGCUGCAUGCCUCUUUUGCCAGCAAUGUUGCAUCUUUUCUUGGAAGUGCUAUUCUGAGGUUUCCUAAUAUGGAAAAGGAUCAGCACCUCUGACAUCAUUUUCCCCCUAAUAACAGAAGAAAAUUAAUUAAAAUUGCGGAUCAAACUUCUAAAAUAAAUGUAUUUGCCAUAGACUGAAUGUGAUUCAAUGGACUAAAAAAGUUCACUGCAUUUGGUAUGACAUAGAUAUAUGACACAUCUGUACAGGGCUAGUAGAUAGGGCAUUAUGUUCAUCAUCUGGAGCAGUAGAUGGAGACAGAAGACAAAUCUUUCAUAUACAAACUCUCACUAGCUUCCCAGGUCCCAGAAGCAAAUUUAUAAGUAAGUAUAGGAGAGACUUUACAAUACUAAGGGACUGAAAAAAAAAAAAAGCAUUUGAGGAGCAGUUUAGAGCUCUUGGGUUUUUUGGGAAGAUAAUUACUGACUUCAAAGAUAGAAAGGUCCCUGACAAGCUUAAUUAGAAAGAAAACUGCCUCACAGUAACAAUAACUUGAUUUAGGUACCUAAUUCUGUUAUUGGUACAGGGAGAAAAACUGAGUCUGGAGUUCAGUGUCAAAUUACAUUUGAAUUGGUCUGUGAGGAAGCACAGAGUGUGGGGAAGAGAGAGAUGAGCAUGAAGCAUAUGUCUUUCUACCUUUAAGAGAAAACCAGUGGCAUCAAAAACUUCCUGUUCUUUUUCUGGUAUAAUCAUAGUGGUUUUUUGGCAUGAGAAUUAGUUACUAAGGCUAUUCUGUAAGGCAGAGGCCUGGAAGAACUAAAAGAUUUGCUACCCUUAUCACAAGUGAGAAUUUGUUGUAAACUGAAAAGGGUUUUGCCUUGCGCUUUAGAAACAAAACUUCCUUCCAUAUUGUGGAAAUUUUCCAUUCAAUUUUUUUUAUUUGUCUACCUUAAUUCUAAUGACAGUGUUAAAAAAAAAAAAACAAAAACAGCAUAUUCACAUUGAGAGUUCACAAAAUAUACAUGCAGUGUUAACCACUAUAUUUGUCUGUUAAGUCAGUAGAUUUCUAAGUCCUUUCUUAGAAAAAGAAAUAAAAAUAUUUAGGUAAAUAUAAAGGUAUUUAUAUUUGGAAAGUUUGGGUAAAUCACAAACACCUCACAUGGUGGUUAGGUCUUAUUUUGAAGAAAGGUAUUACCUUGUGAAUCUGAAGUUCUUUACUUCCCCUGCAAAUUGUCAAUACUUGUGAGGAUGCUUAUGUAGCAUGUCAUAAGGCUGAGAUUGAAGAAAGAGUUAAUUAAUCUCAAAGAAAUGUUCAUUCUAUUCCUUUUAGUUUCAUCCCUCCAUUUGGAUUUGUGCCAGAAAUCUUUGUCAUCCCAUGUUUCAGUCUUGGCAAGAUGAGAACAUGGCUAUGGAGCUUGAGUUUGUUAUUUAAUGCUUGUACUGUUCCUAGUGACACCAAUGAAGGCAAACAGAAGUAAUCUUAUUUCUCAGAGAGAAAUAGAUUUCAUGCACUCCAAAAUAAUGCUACCAGUCAAUACUUCACGUACCUCCAGAGUCAUAGAUGUUGCUUUCUCAAAGUUGACUGAUUUGUCCAGUUUGGUUGGAAAAUUGGAACAGGAAACUACCUCUGGAAUUUUAGUAUGUUUUCUAUGCCAUGAAGACCAUCUAGAGAAAAUGACAUUACUCGGGUACAAUAUUUAGAAACGCAAUAUUUCCAAUUUUUUUUUUGUAUUUUGCAAUGCAAUUCAUAUUAGAAAGUACUAUGGCUAAUAGCUCACUAUUGGAAAUGAAAGAAAUUUCAUUGGGACACAAGGAUUAUCUAACAAGCAGGAAGUAGACUUUGCAAUAGUUAGAUCCAAGGAGAUGACUUAAUCACUGAAUUAUUGCUUUUAAAACUUAUUAGCUUUCACAUCUGUGUACGGUUAGGCAUCAGCCUCUGGCAUAUUGGUGUUUAAAGUACUUAUUACGAUCCUAAAUAGUAAAAAAGCUUCCUAAGCUAUAUCUGCUAACAUGUAGGAUUGUACAAUCAAACUGAUAUUAAGUACUGUAAAACAAAGGAUUGAGAAGGACUAAAUCCUUCUUUUUAUGUAAGCCACAUAGCAGCUUUGAUCUAGACCCAGGUAGGCUUUUAAAAUACGUAGUUUAGUUGAAAAAACACACCAACAGGUGAUUUUUUUUCUCUUUUUUUUUUUUUUUUUUUUUGAAAUCUAGGAGUAAUUGCUUACCUUAUCACCACAGUGAGUGGCUUUUCAACAAGACCACUGCAAGCUUUCUCAAAGUAUACUUUGGAGGUUGAUAUAAGGUCCUAUUACGUAAUAAGUGAUUCAUGACAACAGGGAAAUGAUACAAACUCAGAAGAACAAAAUCAAACUUCAUCUCUAAGUUAUUCAAAAGAAACCUCGCUUUAUUUACAAUAGAAAAAGAAACAGCCUCCUAACAUGGAGACUGGGAGUUAUAAUCUUCCCUAAGUGGUCACAGUGUUUUCGCAACGCAGAACUGAAAAUACUAACACAGAUUUUUCAUGCUGAUAAAUGACUUGUGAUAUUUACUUUGAGGAGUUCAUACUUUGAAUGAAAAUAGACAGAAAGUCAGAAAGCCCAUCUUUUAAUUAAAUUCAUCAUUCAAAACCAUGACUUGAUAGUAGCAUUUCCGUAUCUAAAGGGGAGAUACAGCAAAGAGGGGGACAGACUCUUUAGCAGGGUCUGUGAUGAUAAAACAAGGGAAGAUGGUUUCAAGCUCAAAGAGGGUAGAUUUAGGUCAGAUAUAAGGAAAAAAUCUUUUACAGUGAAGGUGGUAAGGCACUGAAAUGUGUUGCCAACUGAUGUGGUUGAUUCCCUGUCCCUGUAGAUUUUCAAGGUGAGUCUGAAUAAGGUCCUGAGCAACCUGAUCUGGCUGUGGAUGUCCAUGUUCAUUGCAGGGGUGUUACACUAGAUGACCUUUCAAGAUCCCUUCCAACUCUAAGGAUUCUGUGAUUCUAUGAUUCUAUGAAGAUAAUUUCAGGUGGUAGUAUACAUUGCCACAGCUCCAGUGGAAACUGAUUAUUAAUUCUUGACUGAGGUUUGUAUUUUCCCAUCCCAGGCUCAUCUCUACUUAUCAAGUAACAAGUAACUAUAAGAAUUCAGCUGGUAUGUUUCUAUAAAUUCACUGCUAAUAAAAUUUUUUCAGAUAUUGCAAGGAUAACAAUCUAACAUGCAUACAUAUGGCUAAAUUUCAACAGAAAAAAAAAUAGAAAAUUGUAAAGAACACAGUGCUUUAGUUAAGCAGAACUUCAUAAAAGCAUCUUAUGUUUGCUUUAUGACCUUCAUUCUGUGAUGGACAAUAUUGCUAAUUCAUCAUAGUUAAUUG